rnacentral:rRNA from 1 species
GGGGAAUAUUGCACAAUGGGGGAAACCCUGAUGCAGCGACGCCGCGUGGAGGAAGAAGGUCUUCGGAUUGUAAACUCCUGUUGUUGAGGAAGAUAAUGACGGUACUCAACAAGGAAGUGACGGCUAACUACGUGCCAGCAGCCGCGGUAAAACGUAGGUCACAAGCGUUGUCCGGAAUUACUGGGUGUAAAGGGAGCGCAGGCGGGAAGACAAGUUGGAAGUGAAAUCUAUGGGCUCAACCCAUAAACUGCUUUCAAAACUGUUUUUCUUGAGUAGUGCAGAGGUAGGCGGAAUUCCCGGUGUAGCGGUGGAAUGCGUAGAUAUCGGGAGGAACACCAGUGGCGAAGGCGGCCUACUGGGCACCAACUGACGCUGAGGCUCGAAAGUGUGGGUAGCAAACAGGAUUAGAUACCCUGGUAGUCCACACUGUAAACGAUGAUUACUAGGUGUUGGAGGAUUGACCCCUUCAGUGCCGCAGUUAACACAAUAAGUAAUCCACCUGGGGAGUACGACCGCAAGGUUGAAACUCAAAGGAAUUGACGGGGGCCCGCACAAGCAGUGGAGUAUGUGGUUUAAUUCGACGCAACGCGAAGAACCUUACCAAGUCUUGACAUCCUGCGACGGUGCUGGAAACAGUACUUUCCUUCGGGACGCAGAGACAGGUGGUGCAUGGUUGUCGUCAGCUCGUGUCGUGAGAUGUUGGGUUAAGUCCCGCAACGAGCGCAACCCUUAUGGUCAGUUACUACGCAAGAGGACUCUGGCCAGACUGCCGUUGACAAAACGGAGGAAGGUGGGGAUGACGUCAAAUCAUCAUGCCCUUUAUGACUUGGGCUACACACGUACUACAAUGGCGUUAAACAAAGAGAAGCAAGACCGCGAGGUGGAGCAAAACUCAGAAACAACGUCCCAGUUCGGACUGCAGGCUGCAACUCGCCUGCACGAAGUCGGAAUUGCUAGUAAUCGCAGAUCAGCAUGCUGCGGUGAAUACGUUCCCG